rnacentral:rRNA from 1 species
GACGAACGCUGGCGGCGUGCCUAACACAUGCAAGUCGAGCGGGGAUUUAAGUAGAAGUUCUUCGGAAUGGAGAUUUAAAUUCUAGCGGCGGACGGGUGAGUAACGCGUGAACAAUCUGUCCCGGACAGGGGGAUAACACUUGGAAACAGGUGCUAAUACCGCAUAAGACCACGGCCUCGCAUGGGGCUGAGGUAAAAGGAGCAAUCCGGUUCGGGGUGAGUUCGCGUCCGAUUAGCUAGUUGGUGAGGUAACGGCCCACCAAGGCGACGAUCGGUAGCCGGCCUGAGAGGGUGAACGGCCACAUUGGAACUGAGAGACGGUCCAAACUCCUACGGGAGGCAGCAGUGGGGAAUAUUGGGCAAUGGGCGAAAGCCUGACCCAGCAACGCCGCGUGAGGGAAGAAGGUUUUCGGAGUGUAAACCUCUGUCCUAUGGGACGAAGGAAGUGACGGUACCAUAGGAGGAAGCCCCGGCUAACUACGUG